rnacentral:lncRNA from 1 species
GGCCUCCUUGCCCUACAGUCCCCUGGGCCCAGAUAAGUGGUGGCCUGACUUUCAGGUCCAUUUCAACUCUGAAAUUGGAUUGCGUCGGGGCCUCUGAGUUCGCGAAAGAGCUGCUAAGUCUGAGCGCUCGUGGGGCCGCGCGCAGGGGGACGGCCUGCGGCGCGACGAGAGGGAACUACCCAGCCUGGAGCCUAGGGAAGCGCCUCGCCCCGCCCAGCCCGGGGUCGCGCCCCAUUCAACCGGCCCCCUCUCCAGUCUCCAGUUCCGACGGCCAGAUACAACAUCCAGGAUCACUUGCAUCCCUCCACUUCUAAACGUUUCUUCUCAAAAUGGUUCCUGGUGCGUUUUGACUGGACAUUCCUCCCUUCUGCCUCACUGCAUGUCGCCUGUUUUUCCUGGCCGAGACACUGACGGGUGGUCCACUCUUCCAUAGGACAGCUGUAAAGAGUUGCUCUGGUGGGGACCGCCCACCGAGCUCCCUGCUCCCCACUGAGCACUAUCUGGGCAAUUCAGUCUCAGCAAUAGGACCUCCAACCUGGGGGCUCUUCCGACGAAACCAAUGAAAGAAGGAAAGGAAAGCAGUGGAGAUGGUGGCUGCACACCCCCAAACUUUGACCUCAGAGAAGGAAAACCCUCGAAUACUGCUUCUCCCCAUCGUGUAUUGUAUUCCUGAAACCUGGAAAUGAAAAUGGAAAUGGUUUGAUGUAUGAGGGGACGUUAUCUAAUUAGGGCAUAAGAAAUUUAAUCUUUGCAGCAUGCAGGUCAUAUAAUUAAUGUUAAUUUAACGCUCAAAUUCUCAGUCAUUAAUUUUUAUUCUCUUAAAUGCAGUUUGGCAGGGGCCCCUGAUCCAUGGCAAUGGAUUUUGCUGGAUGUAAGAGCACACUUGGUCUUAGGAGUGACUCACCACAGACCUUCCCAUCCCAAUAACAAGAUCACAUCAUGUAUGCAUUAUUAAGCCACGUAAUUGAACAGUCCAUAGUUUGCAUAUCAGACUAUUAAAAUAAUGUGUUUUGCUUUUCUCCGAACACGAAUUGUUUAAGCCUCUGCGAAUAUGUGGCGAUUCUGAUAAUUAUCACCAAAUUACUGGAAAUGUUCUCUUCAUUAACGUGAUUUCUUUCAAGCAUUUUUUAAAAUGAGAAUAUUAUUAUGAAUUAAGAAACUUCUUACAAAGUUGUGUCAACUUUUUUUAAGACACUUGUCACUUGGAAGGAAAGAAUGUAUUUUAAAUGGAAGAGGGAGAGAAAUUCUCUUGACUAUGCCUUUCAAAUGGCUUCAUCUGGCCAAAUAAAUGUUUUCUCUCUAGUUUUUCAGACAGCUUCUAGGUAAGAGACAGACACAGAGAAAGAAAGGGAGAAAGACAGAGAGAGGAGGAGGAGGAGAGAGAGAGAAUUUAAAAGUCACAGGGGAGUAAGAAAAUUAAUUUCUAAAAGUUUUUACUAUCUGACUCCCUUCUGGUGUAGAUAACUUGAUCCCACAAGAAAAUCUUAACUUUUGACCUUAUCUACAGUAAAUGGAUAUUCUCACCUUAAAAAAAAAAAAAACUUAAAAUUUUCUACAGCUAACAGCUCACAAUUAACUAAAUAGUGUUGCUUUCCCCUAGCUAUUCUGAGCAAUGUGAUUGGAGAAAUUAUUCGCGGUAAAGAGCUUUUAUUGUAACCUUCCUUUCCCACACUGUUUUAGAAGCUGAAUAGCAAAAUAUUGGAAGGAAGGAAGGAAGGAAGGAAGGAGGGAAGGAAGGAAGGAGGGAAGGAAGGAAGGAAGGAAGGGAGAAAGGAAGGAGGGAGAGAGGAAGGAGGGAGAGAGGAAGGAAGGAAGGAGAGAGAAAGAAAAAACACUAUU